rnacentral:rRNA from 1 species
AGCAGCCGCGGUAAUUCCAGCUCCAAUAGCGUAUAUUAAAGUUGUUGCAGCUAAAAAGCUCGUAGUUGAAUUUCGGAAUCUGUCCGUUGGUCGGGCUUAACUGUCCGUACUGAUGUGAUGGGUUCUUACCUUCUGAAUAACCAUCAUGCCAUUAAUUUGGUGUGUUGGGGAAGCAGGACUAUUACCUUGAAAAAAUUAGAGUGCUCAAAGCAGGCUAGCGCCUGAAUACAUUAGCAUGGAAUAAUAAAAUAGGACGGCAUGGUUCUAUUUUGUUGGUUUCUAGGAUCACCGUAAUGAUUAAUAGGGAUAGUUGGGGGCAUUAGUAUUCAAUUGUCAGAGGUGAAAUUCUUGGAUUUAUUGAAGACUAACUUCUGCGAAAGCAUUUGCCAAGGAUGUUUUCAUUAAUCAAGAACGAAAGUUAGGGGAUCGAAGACGAUCAGAUACCGUCGUAGUCUUAAACCAUAAACUAUGCCGACUAGGGAUCGGACGAUGUUAAUUUUAUAAAUGACUCGUUC